AGUGGAACUAUCCAAAUCUGUUUGUUUCUUUUUAUUAGAUGCAAUACAUAAUGAUCUGGUGCUGUUUCCAGGUGUCUUCAGCAUUUUCUCAUCUGAUGAAUUUUUCUACCCUUUUCAGUUACUAUAAAGUGUUACAACUUAAAUUUAGACGCAACACAUAAAUAGUAAUUGGAAAGGUACUGCCAUUGCAUGUGUAAUGCAGAAACUAAUUUAAAAUCGAUGUGUACAAUCGUGAAAUUAUGAGGUCGUCAAGAAAUGAACUUUGUUAUAAAUUCUACUCGUUCCCCAAACCUGAAAUAGUUUUAUCGUCACGUCACGUCUGCUUUCAAAAUACCUUUUAAAUGAAUGUGACCGUCUUUCGCCUGAAAUGUAUGCCAUACUGACAUUUUCAGCAUGUUUAAGAUAACUAAAUGACAACUGCGUCUUCAAAACAACUGUUUACUUUCAAUUUGUGUUUAUCGUGACUUUCGAUGUAAAACCUAGAGAUGUUCCGAAAUCCUGCACUUGUGUCAACUCGGCCAAUAUAGAAUAACUCGGCCAAUACAGAAAAAAUCUGUAUUGGCCUAGUUAUUCUGUAUUGGCCCAGUCUACACAUUAUAUUGCAUAGGCAGUUUUCAUCAUAUUAAGUCCAAUAACAGUGCAGUUAAUUAAUAAUUAAUAUUAUUAUACAUUGUAGAAGAAACAAUUAUCCACUGUUUCAAGGUAUCAUAGUAUGUCCUCAAUAUCUUAAGUCAUGUGAUAGUUCCUAUUUUCUAGAUUGGGAAGUAUUUGUUGGUGCAGUAUGAACAUUAUUGCUUGUACAUGUCUCAUGAUUGUAUGAUAUAAUAAUAUCUUUGUUUCUAAAAUUUUUUUCAUUUCCUUUUAAAUUUUACUUCUUUUAGCUGUAGUAACCAUGACCUCUGACCAUUUGACUUAAAAAAAAUCACCUUUUUGUCUGCAAAGGGUUGUAAACUAUUAAUAUAUCAUGUAUAAGAUUUCAUACAUACUAUCAGUUUUGAAAUUUUACCAAAAGAAUAUACUAAUAAAGCUGAUGUGAUAUAGACAUUUUUGUGAAUAAGAUCAAUUGAUGUGGUCAUCUCCAUGUUUGGCGCUGUCGGGCCAAGUUUGACAAAAGCUGAAUUUAUCAUUAGACAUGUAACAUUCUGAAACAGGAAAUUUCUCAUUAUAUCUGUGAUGACUUAAGACCAAAAAACCAUUAGCAAUCUUUGAAUGAUCUCAAAAUCUAAAAAAUCAAAAUGUUGAUAGUGGGAUGUCAUUUAUCAUACAAUUUUGUACAUGUCAUAAUUCCAGUUUGAAAAGUUGCAAAUCCAUUCAUUAUACUAGUCAUACUUUAUUCAAAUGACAUCAUUGGUCAUUGCUAAAAUGGCUAUCUUAUUUUAGGGAAUUAUGUUCAGGAACAUUUUUCAAACAUUGUUACUGAAUUUAAAUUAAUCAUCGACGAUUUACAAAUGUUUUAAAUAUAUAUACAUGCAUUACAAAUCAUUAUUGAUCAUUUGUCACAAAAAGAUAUAUUUGAAUG
rnacentral:lncRNA from 1 species